UUUUUUUUUUUGAAACUGGUAACUAUUGUUAUAGAGCUCUAUCUUAUAGUUUUUCUUUUUAAUUUUUCAUAGAUGGCGGAUGAAACUAGACUAAGUGCGGCCAGCUCAACUGAUAGCGUACCUAAUACAGAUGAUAGCAAUGACAACUCACUUGACACCCAGACCCAGGUAACAAAGAAAAAGAAAAGAAAUAAGAUCUAGAUCAACGAUUUAGGAUCAUUUUGAUAGGGUCGUUGUAAAUGGUAUUAGUAAAGUGAGGUGUAGACAUUGUAAAAAUAUUUAUGCCGCUAAUACAACUAUAAAUGGGACAACGGGAUUGAGACAACAUAUAACUUUGAGGUGCGCAGUAUAUAAAACCAAGAUUGAAACUUGCACUCAGAAAAAGAUAAAUUUUGCAUCUAAGGAUGAGCCGCUUUGGGAAUUUGAUCAACAAUUAAUUAGGAGGGCUUUAGUUGAGAUGAUAAUUACGGAUGAACUGCCAUUUAGCUUUGUAGAAAAGGAAGGCAUCAAUAAGUUUAUGAAUGUAGCCCAACCUUUAUUUCAAGUUCCUUCCCGUAGAACAAUAACAAGGGAUUGUUAUGAACUUUACGGCGAAUUGAGACAAGAUUUGACGAAGAAUUUUAGAGAAGCAAAAUCAAAAUUUGCCUUACCACUAACACAUGGACAUCGUUGCAAGGAGUUAAUUAUAUGUGUUUGACUGCUCACUAUAUUGAUAAAGAUUGGAUUUGCAUAAAAAAAUACUGAAUUUUUGCCCUAUCACUAGUCAUAAGGGUGAGCAUAUGGCAGAGGCUAUUAGUAAUUGUUUGCUUUAUUGGAACUUGGAUAAGGUUUUUUCUGUUACUGUUCAUAAUGCUUCUUCCAACGAUGUUACAGUUAGAGAAUUGUCUAAACAGUUAAAUAUGUGAGGAACUAAUAUAAUAGAUGGUAAGCAUCUUCACGUGAGAUGUAUGGCACACAUACUUAAUCUAAUUGUGCAAGAAGGUUUGAAGGAAAUUGAUGCUUCUGUCAAACGUGUUAGGCAAAUGGUGAGGUAUGUUAGAUCAUCUUCGGCAAGAGGAAGUCACUUUAACAAAUGUUGGAAAGUUCAAAGGGUGGAAUAUUCUAAAACAUUAGAGCUAGAUGUACCUACUAGGUGGAAUUCCACCUACUUGAUGUUGGAUACGACACAAAACUUUGAGAAGGCCUUUCAUAGGUUUGUUCUUUUUUAUGAGAAUUUUAAUAAUUAUCUUUCUACUCAUGUUUUUGAAGAUGGAAGUGUUGCAGGUCCUCUCGUAUGUGAUGAUUGGGUGAAUGUAAGGAAUGUGAUAAAGUUUCUUGAAAGAUUUCACGAGCUCACCGUAAAGGUUUCAGGUUCACAUUAUGUUACUUCUAAUGUUCAUUUUGAGGAUAUAUGUGAGCUUGAUGUACAUUUGAAAGUGUGUUUAGCAAGUGAAGAUCUUAAUUUGAGUAAAAUGGCUGAGCGGAUGAGAGAAAAGUUUAAAAAGUAUGGGGUGAUCCUGAAAAGAUGAACAAAAUGAUUUUUAUUGCUUCCGUGUUGGAUCCUCGUAAUAAGUUUGUGUAUGUUAGCUUUGGGGCUGAAGAGCUAUUUGGGGAGGAAGUAGGAAAGAAAGUAAGCAAAUGAGUGUAUGAUUAUAUGAAAUCUUUGUUUGGAGAGUAUCUAAAAAAUUAUUCAAGAGAAGUUUAUCAUAAAUCAUCUCCAUCUGCAUCUUCUUCAUUUCAAUGCUCUUCUGAUGUAUCUUCUAAUUCUGACACCUCUUUGAGAACAAAAGCUUUGAGAACUAAGCUUCACUUGAAGAGCUUUGUGAACUAAGCUUCACUUGAAGAGACAAAAGGAAGAUUCUGGAUAUGGGGGUGCUAAAUCGGAUUUGGAUAGAUACAUUAGUGAAGAACAAGAGCCUGAAGAUGAACGUGUUGAGUUUAAGGUCUUAGAUUGGUGGAAAAUAAAUGCUCCUAGAUUUCCCGUUCUUUUAGAGUUGGCUCGUGAUGUGUUGGCUAUUCCGGUUUCUAGUGUGGCAUCAAAAUGUGCAUUUGGUACCGGUGGACGUAUUCUUGAUCCAUUUAGAAGUUCAUUGACUCCUAAAUGUGUGCAAUCUCUUAUUUUUGCCCAAGAUUGGCUUAGAGAAGAGACUAAACCCGUUAGUGUGGAAGAAAGUUUGGAGUAUCUUGAACAACUUGAACUUGAGAUAGCAAAUAGUGGAAGAGAUCCUUGCAUUGUUGAUGUUUGAUUGCAAUUUGCUACUAGUGUUCAACAAUGCCUCCUAAAGCUCGCUCACAUGUUUGGGAAUAUUUUGCAGUAGUUCAAGACAAUGAAGAAGGGCGUAAAGUAAGGUGCUUGACAUGUAGUAUGAUACUUAAAUAUAAUUCAAGAGUGAAUGGAACAGGUUCCUUGAUGAAACAUAUUGGGAAAUGUCUUGAGCAUCAAUAAGAGAGGCAAAUUCGCCUUCAAAUUUGAGCUUAUGUUUUGAAUUUGGUGAAUUUCAGACCAAAUUGUGAUUGCUAGUGUUGUGUUAAGACAAUGGAUUUAAGACUUAGUUUGUGACAGCUAAUUUUUUGUAUUUGUAGCUAAAUUUUAAGACAUUUGUGUUGUUUAUAUAUGUUGUUUGACAGUU